rnacentral:rRNA from 1 species
GAUGAACGCUGGCGGCGUGCCUAACACAUGCAAGUCGAACGGAGUCCAGCCUUAGAGACCUUCGGGUCAAAGAGGGGAAGACUGAGUGGCGGACGGGUGAGUAACACGUGGGCAACCUGGCUCAUAGAGGGGGAUAACAGAGAGAAAUUUCUGCUAAUACCGCAUAAGCACACACUGCCGCAUGGCAGAGUGUGAAAAGAGAAUCGCUAUGAGAUGGACCCGCGUCUGAUUAGCCAGUUGGCAGGGUAAGAGCCUACCAAAGCGACGAUCAGUAGCCGAUUGGCGAGGAUGAACGGCCACAUUGGGACUGAGACACGGCCCAAACUCCUACGGGAGGCAGCAGUGGGGGAUAUUGCACAAUGGGGGGAACCCUGAUGCAGCGACGCCGCGUGAGUGAAGAAGUAUUUCGGUAUGUAAAGCUCUAUCAGCAGGGAAGAUAAUGACAGUACCUGAAUAAGAAGCCCCGGCUAACUACGUG